rnacentral:rRNA from 1 species
UGCUGCACGAAGUCUGACGGAGCACGCCGCGUGAGUGAUGAAGGUUUUCGGAUCGUAAAGCUCUGUUGUUAGGGAAGAACAAGUACCGUUCGAAUAGGGCGGUACCUUGACGGUACCUAACCAGAAAGCCACGGCUAACUACGUGCCAGCAGCCGCGGUAAUACGUAGGUGGCAAGCGUUGUCCGGAAUUAUUGGGCGUAAAGGGCUCGCAGGCGGUUUCUUAAGUCUGAUGUGAAAGCCCCCGGCUCAACCGGGGAGGGUCAUUGGAAACUGGGGAACUUGAGUGCAGAAGAGGAGAGUGGAAUUCCACGUGUAGCGGUGAAAUGCGUAGAGAUGUGGAGGAACACCAGUGGCGAAGGCGACUCUCUGGUCUGUAACUGACGCUGAGGAGCGAAAGCGUGGGGAGCGAACAGGAUUAGAUACCCUGGUAGUCCACGCCGUAAACGAUGAGUGCUAAGUGUUAGGGGGUUUCCGCCCCUUAGUGCUGCAGCUAACGCAUUAAGCACUCCGCCUGGGGAGUACGGUCGCAAGACUGAAACUCAUGGAA